rnacentral:tRNA from 1 species
GGGGUUGUAGCUCAGUGGUAGAGCGCUUGCCUCUCACACAUGAGGCUCUGGGUUCAAUCCUCAGUACCA